rnacentral:ncRNA from 1 species
CGAUGCCGACCAGGGAUCGGCGGAUGUUGCUUAUAGGACUCCGCCGGCACCUUAUGAGAAAUCAAAGUCUUUGGGUUCCGGGGGGAGUAUGGUCGCAAGGCUGAAACUUAAAGGAAUUGACGGAAGGGCUCCACCAGGCAUGGAGCCUGCGGCUUAAUUUGACUCAACACGGGGAAACUUACCAGGUCCAGACAUAGCAAG